GACGAACGCUGGCGGCGUGCUUAACACAUGCAAGUCGAACGAAGUGGCGAACGGGUGAGUAACGCGUAAUCAACCUGCCCUUCAGAGGGGGACAACAGUUGGAAACGACUGCUAAUACCGCAUACUGAAGGAGGGGCUUGCGUUUGUUUAGGUGGUUGGGUGGGUAACGGCCCACCAAGGCGAUGAUCAGUAGCCGGGCUGGGAGGAGGAACGGCCACCUUGGGACUGAGACACGGCCCAGACUCCUACGGGGGGCAGGAGUGGGGAAUCUUUCGCAAUGGACGAAAGUCUGACGGGGCAACGCCGCGGGAGUGAUGACGGCCUUCGGGUUGGAAAGCUCUGUUAAUCGGGACGCGGUACCGGAAUAGAAAGCCACGGCUAACUACGUGCCAGCAGCCGCGGUAAUAC
rnacentral:rRNA from 1 species